rnacentral:rRNA from 1 species
AUUGAACGCUGGCGGCAGGCCUAACACAUGCAAGUCGAACGAGUGGCGGACGGGUGAGUAACGCGUAGGUAACUACCUAUUAGAGGGGGGUAACUAUUGGGAACCAUAGCUAAUACCGCAUACUAGUAGAUGGACCUGCUUUGUAUUAGGUAGUAGGUAGGGUAAUGGCCUAACUAGGCAACGAUACAUAGCCGACCUGAGAGGGUGAACGGCCACACCGGGAAGGAGGACAGGCUCAGACCCCCGCGGGAGGCAACAGGAGGGGAGUUUCGGAAAGUGGGGGAACCCUGACCGAGCAACGGCGCGGUAGUGAAGAAGGUUUUCGGAUCGUAAAGCUCUGUUGUUAAGGAAGCGGUACUUAACCAGAAAGCGACGGCUAACUACGUGCCAGCAGCCGCGGUAAUAC